GUAGAUUUGCCUUUUGUUUUAUUGAGCUCCUAAACUUGAUAUACUCAAACUUUGAAAUACGCUAAAAAUACAACUUUUAUUACAAUCUUUUGUUGAAUUUUAUAUGAAUCAUGAUCUUACUUGAUUAAAAAGAGUGAUUGGCAUGAACACGUGGCGUCUGAAUGGUUGUUGUUGAAGUGAAAGGUAAUUGAAAGUACUUUGAUGUUCAAAUUAGUAGAUAUGUUGAAGUGUGAUAUUAGAGAGAAGAUAACAUACAUAAGUCCUUGGCUAGAAGAUGUAUAGACCUUGACACAAACCACAACCAUUGAUAUGUUGCUGGAAGCCGUAGAAUCACCGUCGAUGAUAGAGGGAACAAUGGCCUCUAACCCAUUGAUUAACACUAAAAAUCAUUGAUUUCGGCAGCAAAUAUUACAAGUGUUGUCUGUUCGUAUCUGUUGUGAUAUGUCUUGAUCAAUCUCAUUUAAUUCGUGUAAAAUGGAUAUGAGACUUUGUAAAAAAAAAAAAGAAAAGGAAAGUAAUGAAAUCCUUGGCCCAAUUUUGCAAUUAUACAGUGAAAUCCAUUUCAAUAAAAGUGUUUGUUGCAAAGUAGUGUAUUUGAUAGCUAUCUAAAAUCCUUUUUACACAAUUUUUUUCUUCAUUUAAAUGAAAAGUUGAAAAAGUUAAACGAAAAUCUUUUGCAAAUAAUAUAUCUACUAAUUAAACUACGAGAAAGAAA
rnacentral:lncRNA from 1 species